GUAAAUUUAAGUUUUUCUGAAAUGCAAUUUAUAUCUUCAUUGUCAAUUUGUCACCAACAGUCCAGUUACGGUUAACAUUGAAAAUUUCUAGAUAUUGCUUAUUUUAAACGCAUUAACUUUUGGCGUACGCAACAAAAAAAUAAAUUUUGGGAAUUAAAAUUGGUCUCUAUAUACUUUUACUUUUACUAAUUUUGUUAAAAUAUAUCUCGGCGGAAAAAGUUAGUUAUUUGUUUUUUGACUGUGAGAGAGAUAAACACCUUCAAGGUAAUUCAUUGUGCAUAAAUCAAUUACCUAAAUCAAAAACACUUAUUUCGUCUGACAUUAUUGACUAUUUGAAGAUAAAAUACCGCAUUUUAUUCGAACUGGGAGUGCUUUUUUGUAUCUUAGCUGUAAUGAAAACAGUGCAAGUGAUUAACAUGCUUUCAAUCCACGAGAAAAAAAUCAUACUUAGAAAAACUAAUACUCAGGCGCAGCUGAGUGUUAUGUAAAUGUUGCAUUUUAUUCGACUGAAUAACGACGGUUAAUGUGAUUCAAUGAUAUGGGACUGAAUGGAAAAUUAUUGUUUAUUAAAUACGGGAAUUGAAAACUAGAAAGUUUUGGAUUUUUUUUAUUUGUUAUUGGUUCUAAACCACUUUGUUAAACCUUCCGAGCAUGAUAUUCACCGAGUGCAGCAUAUUUGCAGCAUAACAGCACGGAUAAUUUGCCUCAAACAUGAGUUAAACGCCUUCUCAUUUUUAUUUAAUGGAUGAAUAAUGUUUCGUAAACGUACUUAGUUUAUAUGGUUGUUCACUAUGUCGAGCAUGUACCAAAGCGAUGGAUACAUUUUUAAUUGAUGACGUCGGACAAACGAGUGCAAUAUGGAUGUUUUUUCAUAUACAGAAUGUCUCUUAAACAUUCGAUAAUGAUUCGCCUGAGAAGUCAGCAAAUCAAAAAUAACAUUAAUGAUAGAAAUAUCAUGGUUUCGAAUGGUGGAUGAAAAAUCGAUGGUUGUAAAAUAUUUUAGUUUGGGUUUGGGCAAUAGUCGUUAUUAAUCAAAGUAUUUUUUGAGAUGUUUGCUUUAGAUAAACAAAAAACACUUUAUUUGAGUACAAAUUCGAGUUUUCCGUUUUCACUAUUAUGUAAAUUUUGCUGCCUUCUGUUCCAAAUGAUAGAUCUUGAUUUUCAUAAGCACAAAACUGAUGAAUGUUAAAUUCCUUAAACAGUAGGUAAA